UUCUCCUGGGAAAACGGUGGUAAUGCCGGAUGUUCCACAUGAUCGCAUGUGAUUGUGGGAAAGAUUCUAUCGGCGUGGGAUGGGGUCGCGUCCUAUCAGCUUGUUGGUGAGGUAACGGCUCACCAAGGCUUCGACGGGUAGCCGGCCUGAGAGGGCGACCGGCCACAUUGGGACUGAGAUACGGCCCAGACUCCUACGGGAGGCAGCAGUGGGGAAUAUUGCACAAUGGGCGCAAGCCUGAUGCAGCGACGCCGCGUGAGGGAUGGAGGCCUUCGGGUUGUAAACCUCUUUUGUUUGGGAGCAAGCCUUCGGGUGAGUGUACCUUUCGAAUAAGCGCCGGCUAACUACGUGCCAGCAGCCGCGGUAAUACGUAGGGCGCAAGCGUUAUCCGGAUUUAUUGGGCGUAAAGGGCUCGUAGGCGGCUCGUCGCGUCCGGUGUGAAAGUCCAUCGCUUAACGGUGGAUCUGCGCCGGGUACGGGCGGGCUGGAGUGCGGUAGGGGAGACUGGAAUUCCCGGUGUAACGGUGGAAUGUGUAGAUAUCG
rnacentral:rRNA from 1 species